rnacentral:snoRNA from 1 species
CUUCAGUGAAGAGAUGAUGACGAGUCUGACCGGGGGUGUUGUCUUUGUCCAGGUGGUCUACUCUGUGUUGCGUUCUGUGGCACAGUUGAAAGGGCCCUGGUUGAAGUCACUUCCUAAAGAUGACCAAGAGGCAUUUGUCUGAGAAGG